GACAUUUAGAGCAGACCAUCCAGAGCCCAGCUGUGUGUCUAUAAAGAGCAACCAUUCCAUGGAGCAGCCUCAUAAUUUCAGUAAUGAAAGAAGCAGCACUGACCUGAGCUGUGGAAGGGAUGUGCGAUUCCAGGAUCAGUCCAGGUGUGGAGUGUGUGAGCAGAUUCAGACAGAUCCAGUCUCUAUCACCUGUGGACACACGUUCUGCAGGCAGUGCAUUAACAGCUACUGGGGCCAGUCUGCUCCAUCAGGAGACUUCGCUUGUCCCCGGUGCAAAAAGAGACCUAAAACACGUCCAGUUCUGUAUCCACUUAUGGAGGAAACCAUGAAGCAGCAUUACUGCCCACCA